rnacentral:rRNA from 1 species
GACGAACGCUGGCGGCGUGCUUAACACAUGCAAGUCGAACGAUGAAGCCCUUCGGGGUGGAUUAGUGGCGAACGGGUGAGUAACACGUGGGCAAUCUGCCCUUCACUCUGGGACAAGCCCUGGAAACGGGGUCUAAUACCGGAUAACACUCUCGUGGGCAUCUGUGAGGGUUAAAAGCUCCGGCGGUGAAGGAUGAGCCCGCGGCCUAUCAGCUUGUUGGUGAGGCAGUGGCNCACCAAGGCGACGACGGGUAGCCGGCCUGAGAGGGCGACCGGCCACACUGGGACUGAGACACGGCCCAGACUCCUACGGGAGGCAGCAGUGGGGAAUAUUGGACAAUGGGCGCAAGCCUGAUCCAGCGAUGCCGCGUGUGUGAAGAAGGCCUGCGGGUUGUAAAGCACUUUCAGUAGGGAAGAAAAGCCGAGUGCUAAUAUCACUCGGUCUUGACGUUACUUACAGAAGAAGCACCGGCUAACUCCGUG